UAGAAUUCCUACGCUUUACC
rnacentral:miRNA from 15 species